GACGAACGCUGGCGGCGUGCUUAACACAUGCAAGUCGGGCGAGAACCUCGGGAGGGGUAACCCUUCCGGGGGGAGAGCGGCGAACGGGUGAGUAACACGUGGGCAACCUGCCCCGGACACCGGGAUAACCCAGGGAAACCUGAGCUAAUACCGGAUACUCCGGCGUGAUCACAUGGUCGUGCCGGGAAAGCUCCGACGGUCCGGGAUGGGCCCGCGGCCUAUCAGCUUGUUGGUGGGGUAACGGCCUACCAAGGCGG
rnacentral:rRNA from 1 species